AUUGAACGCUGGCGGCAGGCCUAACACAUGCAAGUCGAGCGGAUGAGAAGAGCUUGCUCUUCGAUUCAGCGGCGGACGGGUGAGUAAUGCCUAGGAAUCUGCCUGGUAGUGGGGGACAACGUUUCGAAAGGAACGCUAAUACCGCAUACGUCCUACGGGAGAAAGCAGGGGACCUUCGGGCCUUGCGCUAUCAGAUGAGCCUAGGUCGGAUUAGCUAGUUGGUGAGGUAAUGGCUCACCAAGGCGACGAGCCGUAACUGGUCUGAGAGGAUGAUCAGUCACAAUGGAACUGAGACACGGUCCAGACUCCUACGGGAGGCAGCAGUGGGGAAUAUUGGACAAUGGGCGAAAGCCUGAUCCAGCCAUGCCGCGUGUGUGAAGAAGGUCUUCGGAUUGUAAAGCACUUUAAGUUGGGAGGAAGGGCAGUAAGUUAAUACCUUGCUGUUUUGACGUUACCGACAGAAUAAGCACCGGCUAACUCUGUGCCAGCCGCCGCGGUAAGAC
rnacentral:rRNA from 1 species